rnacentral:rRNA from 1 species
UACGUAGGGUGCAAGCGUUGUCCGGAAUUAUUGGGCGUAAAGAGCUCGUAGGCGGCUUGUUGCGUCGACCGUGAAAACCCGUGGCUCAACUGCGGGCUUGCGGUCGAUACGGCCGGGCUAGAGUUCGGUAGGGGAGACUGGAAUUCCUGGUGUAGCGGUGAAAUGCGCAGAUAUCAGGAGGAACACCGGUGGCGAAGGCGGGUCUCUGGGCCGAUACUGACGCUGAGGAGCGAAAGCGUGGGGAGCGAACAGG